rnacentral:rRNA from 1 species
AGAUUGAACGCUGGCGGCAGGCCUAACACAUGCAAGUCGAGCGGUAGAGAGGUGCUUGCACCUCUUGAGAGCGGCGGACGGGUGAGUAAUGCCUAGGAAUCUGCCUAGUGGUGGGGGAUAACGUUCGGAAACGGACGCUAAUACCGCAUACGUCCUACGGGAGAAAGGCGGGGGACCUUCGGGCCUCGCGCCAUUAGAUGAGCCUAGGUCGGAUUAGCUAGUUGGUGA